rnacentral:rRNA from 1 species
UACGUAGGGGGCAAGCGUUGUCCGGAUUUAUUGGGCGUAAAGAGCGUGUAGGCGGCCAGACAGGUCCGUUGUGAAAACUCGAGGCUCAACCUCGAGACGUCGAUGGAAACCGUCUGGCUAGAGUCCGGAAGAGGAGAGUGGAAUUCCUGGUGUAGCGGUGAAAUGCGCAGAUAUCGGGAAGAACACCCGUGGCGAAGGCGGCUCUCUGGGACGGUACUGACGCUGAGACGCGAAAGCGUGGGGAGCGAACAGG